UAAUUUAAGUAGUAAUAGUUAUAUUCUUGAAACUUAAAGAAUUUGGCGGUAUUUUAAUCUUUUCAGAGGAACCUGUUCUAUAAUCGAUAUUCCACGUUAAAUUUUACUAAAUUAUUUGUAUAUCGUUGUCGAAAGAAUAAAUUUUCUAAUAUUUAUAAUAAAAUAAAUGUCAAAUCAAGGUGCAGUUUAUGAUUUAGGAAGAAAUGGGUUACAAUAAAUUUAUUUAGAAUUUUAAUGAAGGUGGAUUUGAAAGUAAAUAGAUUUUAUUAAAUUUAAUUGAUGAUAGUUCUAAAAUAUGU
rnacentral:rRNA from 1 species